CCUACGGGUGGCUGCAGUGGGGAAUAUUGCACAAUGGGCGCAAGCCUGAUGCAGCCAUGCCGCGUGUGUGAAGAAGGCCUUCGGGUUGUAAAGCACUUUCAGCGGGGAGGAAGGCGGUGAGGUUAAUAACCUCAUCGAUUGACGUUACCCGCAGAAGAAGCACCGGCUAACUCCGUGCCAGCAGCCGCGGUAAUACGGAGGGUGCAAGCGUUAAUCAGAAUUACUGGGCGUAAAGCGCACGCAGGCGGUCUGUCAAGUCGGAUGUGAAAUCCCCGGGCUCAACCUGGGAACUGCAUUCGAAACUGGCAGGCUAGAGUCUUGUAGAGGGGGGUAGAAUUCCAGGUGUAGCGGUGAAAUGCGUAGAGAUCUGGAGGAAUACCGGUGGCGAAGGCGGCCCCCUGGACAAAGACUGACGCUCAGGUGCGAAAGCGUGGGGAGCAAACAGGAUUAGAUACCCUUGUAGUC
rnacentral:rRNA from 1 species